rnacentral:lncRNA from 1 species
CUGGCCUCUUUGGGCGUUGGCUCCUUUGCUUUCAUAUGCUUUUUGUGCAUAGUCAUCAUGGCACCCACAGGACAAGCUCCUCAAAAGAGAUUUGGCUGAUGGGAGUCCCUUCCAACUGGCUCCUGUGUCCUUUUAUAAGCUUGGCGUUUUUGGAGGAACAUAUUCUAUUGAUGUGUCCACCCCACUUCAGCUGUUUUUCUAACUCUGGUUUCCUGGCUCAUAAAGAAGAAACAAUUUGAGGGCGUGGCAUUCCUGAUGACUCUCAGCGGGAUGCCAACUGAUGUCAACUCCCAGGUACAGGGAAUGGGAACUGUGGGUGGAAGACGGCAGAGCCUCUGUCAGCUGUGUCCAAAAUGGCUGUGUGAACCGCAUUCUGACUCCUCGGCUCCCUACCACAUCCCCUGCCCCCGAUCACCAGUCUCUGCCAUUGGGCUUUACGUGGCACUCGGAUUCGGCCUUCCAGAUUGGAAACUCCUUGAGAGAAGUUUGCAGCCUUCCCACAUCCUGAAGCAUAGCUGGAGAAGAGCUCCCUCUGACCCUGGCAGUGGACUCAGGCCGCCAUGUCCCAUGAGUAUUGGAGAGUCAUCCUGCCUGAGUCUGGAAGUUGCUCUGUUCCUGCUCAUCAGUAGCCGGAGCAACUGAUGGGGACGGAAGUGUGGGCCUCCUUCAGAGCUGUUAAAAAAUCAAUGACGCUGGCGGAGAAAAAAAGGGUGGGGAAGGAGGUCAAUAUGGAUCAUAAAUGCGAGCAUCUUUUUCAUUCACUGCUUCCUAGCCUGUCCCCGCCCCUAGGCCAGCUCCCACACAGGAUCGUCACCAAGAGCGGGUUUAAAUUUGCUUUAACUGGUAAGGCCCCAAGCUCCAGUGUGGCCGUAAAUCAGGGGCUGGAGGUGCAGCAGCUGGAACUCAAUGGGAUUACCCUAUCUUGUGACCCGCUGAGCGAGCUGACUGAGGAGCAGUCCCCGUAUCCACUGCUGGGGACACUAAAAUUGUCCUGCACUGUGUCAGCUGCAAAGGUUUCAUAUCGCGUUAUGGCUUUGUGUUGUCUUGGUGGCUCCGGAGUUGCUAACUCAGGGCAGUUGGCCGAC